UAGAAGAAAGUAAAAACACAAAAAUACUGAACUCCGAGGAAAAUUCAAAAAGGAAAAUCAAAAAUCAAAAGGCAAAAUCAAAAGUCCAAGCACAUCAAACGAAUGGAUAACAACUGUCAUAUUCCUGACUUGGUACAGGCAUUUUCUAAUGUAGAAAAUGGUGGAUUGAACCUGGUUUUAUAGCUAGCUAAACCUCUCACUUGUAUGACAGUCACAUCAAAUUCCAUUACAUUGUCAACGAUGCAUGAACAAAACAAACAUACUCAAAGAGUAAAAAUGUCAAAAAUAGGGGUAGAACAGUCAAUAUUGUGUUAUCAUCUUAAUAUCACUAUAUAAACAACAAAUGUAACAAAGUAGCACA
rnacentral:lncRNA from 1 species